rnacentral:tRNA from 4 species
GCCGGGGUAGCUCAGCCUGGUUAGAGUGCCAGACUCAUAAUCUGGAGGUCGUGGGUUCGAAACCCACCCCCGGCA